AGGGACCGCUCGUACACUGCGGUUCCUGCGCACCGUCCAGGCUACCGGACAUCCGCCCGCUCCAUUUCAUUCGCC
rnacentral:sRNA from 2 species